UUAAUGUUUUUUACAGAACUCAGGUGUACCAAGCAGCAACUGGUGUGAGCUGGAGGGUUUGAAGCGAAACAUAGCAUUUCUCAAGGAGCAACACUUGCAAGUUUCAGCCCUUAUUACCGACAGAAAUCGCCAGGUUGCCAAGUGGGUGCGGGAGGAGUUGUGCCCUGAAGGAACAAGUCACUUCUUUGACAUCUGGCAUGUUGGUAAAAGCAUAGGAAAAGCGCUAGAUGCUGCUGCAAAGGAGAGGGGUUGUGAGGACCUUAAGCUGUGGAGGCCAUCGAUUGUCAACCACCUAUACUGGACUGCAGCUUCCACACCUAAUGGGGAUCCAAAUGUAAUGGAGGCCAAGUGGCAAAGCAUGGUGAACCAUGUUCAGGACAUCCAUGAACAUGACAGUCCUGGAUUUCCCUCCUGUGCACAUCUCCCUUUGGAGGGAGAAGCAAGGAACAAGCAGUGGCUGGAACCAGGAUCAACUGUAGCUAUUAAGUUGGAGAGUGUCACUACAAGAACAGCAUUGUUGAAGGAUGUUCGGCAGUUGUCCCCACAGCAUCAGACCUUUUCCCUGGAGGCCUUUCACUCGCUUAUCCUCCACUUUGCACCUAAGCACACUGGCUUCUCUU